CAGUGCUGGGAUUACAGGUGUAAGCCACCGUGCCUGGUCUAAACCCCCUUUUAAACAAGGUCCUCUUAGCCAGACACAGAACAAGUGUGUGUUAAAUAAAUGAGACAGGAAACAUCAAAUGGUGACGGUUUGUAUUUUUUUUAAUGAGCCAUGUUAACUGAAAUGAGGUGGACACAGAAGGGAAAUAGGGUCAGGAAACUUUGGUGAAGGUAUAACGUUUAUAUGAUGGCACUUCUGCUGACAGUGUCCUCAGAAGUUGCCUGCCCUGAGGCUCUUUAAAACAGACUAGCUGAAUUUCCAUACAUGCCCUUCUUGUUCUCUUUGCCUCACUAGUUGUCUUCCUCCAAUUUCUUCCCAAGUGAGCCUUCAUGAUGUAUUCAUGAUGAGCCUUUGUGAUAUACUCUUCAAGACCAACCUUUUAGCAAGAAAGGGUUUUAUAUCUAGUCUUUUGUAUCUCUGUUAAAUGUGGCAAGCAGAGAAAACUUUAUAGCCAUCACUUAGAUGAAAUAUAGCAAUGUAACGAAUCCUAUGUUAUAAAAACCACGUUUGUUUUACUUUCCUUUCUCUUUGUCCUUAACUUCCUCCAGGCAGGAUUGCUUGCACAUAGUCAUUUUGGUAGUGGGUAGUCACUAAUAAGUGAUUAACUUCAUAUCCUAACCCCCAGGGGAUGCUUGCAAGAUUAAUGAGCUUGUUUUUCUUAUAAAGAACAAUGAUCCUUGGUCAUGCUGACCUCCUUGAUGGCAUGCAGAAGUUUGGCCAAGGGAUGCAAGCAGCUUUGAUAAUCAGGAGAUCUCACUUCCCACACACCUUCCUUACUCAUAAAAGCCACCAGUUAUGUGCAAAGGGAGGUUGAAUUUGAGAAUUUGCCUCUCCCACCCUCAUGCUUUGGACAAUUUGAAUAAACCUUUCUCUGCUCUGAAGCACUCAUAUGUCAGUAUUUGGCUUACUGUGCAUCAGGUACCUGACGUAAGUUUUGGGGUUCUGCAACAGAUUCUGACAACAUGGCAGUAGGCCCAGCCAGGUCAGGCAAACAAGUGCCAGAAGCUGCCCAGGCUUGUUUGUUGGGGGGCCCUAAAGUAGCUCUUCUAGGUCAGUGUCAGCUGCCGUUGGUGCUCUAGAAGCUUACAGCAGAGAAACAUCUCAGACUGCUAUCUGGACUUCCAGUUUUGGUUUGAAGGGUUUAAAGAAAGGGGUUCCUCAGGUAAAGAACCUCAAUAAGGUACAGGAAGUACAGCAGCAAGCAUAUGAGGACUCUUCAUAAUUCAUAGAAAGAUGUCAUCAGACAUAAUGAAAAGUAGAUUGACACUAACCCUGAGGCACCCGACAAUCAGAGAAUGGUCAAUGUGACCUUAAUCAGCCAGAAGCCCUGAUAUUCAAAGAAAACUGCAAAUAGAGCCCUGGAUACAACUGACAGUGGGGAACAGAAUGAUGGACUUUUUAGUUGACACAGUGCCACAUAUUAAUUUGCAGGUUUCAAAUAUUCCUGCUCCAACCAGAAAACGAAGAGGUUCAGGACAUUCCAGAAGAAAUUCUCAUGCAGGUAAGGAGAGAUGUUUGGGCCAGGGGAAGCCAGGGAGAGUGGUCACAGACAGACCCAUAGCAAUUAAAUGAA